GUGCCUUGAUCUGCCUUGACUGGGUCGGUUAACAGCUGGGCAGGGAGUACGACGGUGGGUUUAUGCGUCACCACAAGCCGACUAAAUUCCGGUUCACCGGAUUGAAAGAAAACGCUUAGA
rnacentral:ncRNA from 1 species